UUAGUAUGACAGUGCAAAUCAAUUGGCCUUUCUCACACCGCCAUUUUGGGGUACUGUAAUUUUUCGUAAACGAUUAUAACAAUGUGGAAAGCAAUACUUCAGAACAAACUAUUUAUAGGGUAAAUUUACAAUCAUACCCCACCAAAUUAUAAAAUGUCGCCGUUACGCUCGCAGAAUUGGCAGAAAAGUACCCCAAAAAUGGCGGCAUGAGAAAGCCUAAUUACAAAAACCUUUAAAACACAUACAUAAAUUUUACAAAAUGCCUGCACAUUUAGAGAAGCUAUUCGAAGUGGGGGUUGCCAUUUGUACGCAGCAUUAUUUCCUGCCUAUAUUAAAUUGUUUGAAGUAUAAAUUGUUUGCAUCAAGUUCCAUAUAAUGCUUGUAAAAUUCAAUAAAAUAAACUUUAACGAACGCUAUAUUAACUUGGAUACUGUUUGCAAAAUCUGAGCAAGAUCACAAUAUAAUCACAAGAAGCAACAACAUCAAAAGCAAACUUACAUUCUGUGGGAAAAUA